UACAUGUGGGGCAAGCGUUGUUCGGAAUUACUGGGCAUAAAGGGUGCGUAGGUGGCUUGUUAAGUCAGGGGUGAAAAGUUUUCGGGCCCAACCGGAAAACUGGCCUUUGAUACUGGCGAGCUCGAGUGCGUGAGGGGUAACCGGAACGAGCAGUGUAGCGGUGGAAAUGCGUAGAUAUUGCUCGGAAGCCAACGGCGAAGGCAGGUUACUGGUACGCAACUGACACUGAGGCACGGAAAGCGUGGGGAAGCAAACAGGG
rnacentral:rRNA from 1 species